GUAGGGAAUAUUGGACAAUGGGCGAAAGCCUGAUCCAGCAAUGCCGCGUGAGUGAUGAAGGCCUUAGGGUUGUAAAGCUCUUUUACCAGGGAUGAUAAUGACAGUACCUGGAGAAUAAGCUCCGGCUAACUCCGUGCCAGCAGCCGCGGUAAUACGGAGGGAGCUAGCGUUGUUCGGAAUUACUGGGCGUAAAGCGCGCGUAGGCGGCGAUUUAAGUCAGAGGUGAAAGCCCGGGGCUCAACCCCGGAAUAGCCUUUGAGACUGGAUUGCUAGAAUCCUGGAGAGGUGAGUGGAAUUCCGAGUGUAGAGGUGAAAUUCGUAGAUAUUCGGAAGAACACCAGUGGCGAAGGCGGCUCACUGGACAGGUAUUGACACUGAGGUGCGAAAGCGUGGGGAGCAAACAGGAUUAGAAACCCUAGUAGUCC
rnacentral:rRNA from 1 species